rnacentral:rRNA from 2 species
UACGGAGGGUGCAAGCGUUGUCCGGAUUUAUUGGGUUUAAAGGGUGCGUAGGCGGCUUUUUAAGUCAGUGGUGAAAGACAACAGCUCAACUGUUGCAGUGCCAUUGAUACUGAAGAGCUUGAGUACAGAUGAGGUAGGCGGAAUUUAUGGUGUAGCGGUGAAAUGCAUAGAUACCAUAAAGAACACCUAUUGCGAAGGCAGCUUACUAAGCUGUAACUGACGCUGAGGCACGAAAGUGUGGGGAUCAAACAGG